GGCCCACAAACAUAAACAUUCCCUUCCCCCUUCCCUGAAGGAUCCACAUGACGGGACCGCAGAGACUCCGGGUAAACUUAAACAGUCAAUUCCCUUCCCCCUUCGUGCGGACCGAUCAGUCGCUAGCACGGAAAGGUUGGUAUGUCGGAAGGUGUGGAGUGCGCUUCUUGAUCUUCAUCACUGCUGGUUUUGUUUACAUUUCCACACGACAACGAGAGCAGCCGCAGUUUAUUCAUCCGAUUAUUGGACCAGGUAAGCACAUUUCCUUAUCAUAAUGUUAGUUUUUUACAGUUUAAUGACAGAGGUUACCUAUAUGAACAAGUAAAAAGGUCGAGUGUAGCCCUCAUUGCUUAGAGUAGAUGAUGCCAGCCUGCACAUGGACGAGACCCUCACAAAGAUUAUUGUCCUUCCAUUAUGUGCCCAAGUAAGCACAUUUCCCUGUCAUAGUGUUAGUUUUUAGCUGUUUAAUGACAGGGUUGACCUAUGUGAACAAGUAAUAAGGUUGCGUGUGGCCCUCAAAACACACAUGGAUGAGGCCCAGACUAAGGCUAUUUUCAUCCCAUUAUUGGAGCAGAGAACGUAGGAUUUCUAGAAAUGGAAGGAGCACUGAGUGCCAGAAGCAGUCCAAUGUCACCUCCUGAGCGAGACCUUCUCAUGGGCCUCAUCUGUGAGGAGAUGAUCCUCCAAGACAGGAGGACAGACGGGAAGGUUGUCCUCCAGAAGAGGGCAGCGUGGGCCCGAAUCACGCGCCUGUUUAAUUUCCACAACCUUGGACCGCAGCGCACUGAGCAGCAACUCAAGAAAGUUUGGGAGCGUUUAAAAGUAAAGGCAAAACAAGAACAUGCAGUGAAGAGGCGGGAGGACAUGAGAACUGGUGGAGGUGCCCCUCCUGCGGAUCUGCCAAAAGAAUCGGACCAAGUGCUGACAAUACUUGGCACGGAUUUGCACGACAUAGGAAAUCCGUUUGACCUCGAUGCAAUGCCAGCCAUGUCCAAGUCGCACCGACAAAGUCUACUCAUCCGAUUUACCAAGUCUCUCUUUGUGAGAGCAAAUUCAUAUUCAGAAAAAACACUUGCAGUAUGCAGUGUUGUAGCACAUCCUGCAACAAAUUCCGUGGAAGAGGAGGUUCCAGCAUCACCACAAGCAAAAGAACCAGAGGAGGUGCCCGCCCCCUCACCAUCAACUGUCAGGACAAGGCAUUGCAGAAACAGAGCAGCAACCAGCUACAAAAACACGACUGCCACACCAGAACUAUUAGAAAUUAGUAGGGAGAGGGAGAUUACAAACAAUAGGUUUUUGGAGAAGAGGGAGCAUUUGAUCGAUCUUCAAAUCAAACACAUGAAAGUGAAAAUAGCUGAAGCAGAACAAAGGGAGGAAGAGGCUAGAUUUAGAAAAGAGAUAACAAAAAAAGAACUUAAAAAGCUAAAUAAUAGCUAAGGAUGUACACAGGUAGGACAUCACAGGGAAUGUUUAUGUAAUAUAGACUAAGGAAAGAAUAAAACUAUAAAGUAACUUGUGUUUUAAUUAACAAUGAAAAUAAAGGUUUUACGAGAACAUACAUACACACUUCUUCCCACCUCAUCAUUCAUUCUGAAAA